rnacentral:rRNA from 1 species
ACGAACGCUGGCGGCGUGCUUAACACAUGCAAGUUGAACGGUAUGACAUGGAAGCUUGCUGAAGUGUCAUAUAGUAGCGGACGGGUGAGUAAUGCAUGAGAAGCUGCCAUUGGAGGGGGACAACAGUUGGAAACGGCUGCUAAUACCCCGUAUGCCGGAAGGUGAAAGGGAGCGAUCCGCCCGAUGAGGUGCUCAUGUCCUAUCAGCUGGUUGGUGGGGUAACGGCCUACCAAGGCGACGACGGGUAGCCGGCCUGAGAGGGUGAACGGCCACACUGGAACUGAGAUACGGUCCAGACUCCUACGGGAGGCAGCAGUGGGGAAUAUUUGGGGCAAUGGGGGCAACCCUGACCCAGCGACGCCGCGUGGGGGAAGACGGCCUUCGGGUUGUAAACCUCUUUUGUACGGGAAGAAGGAAGUGACGGUACUGUACGAAUAAGUCCCGGCUAACUACGUGCCAGCCGCUGC